AGAGUUUGAUCAUGGCUCAGAUUGAACGCUGGCGGCAGGCCUAACACAUGCAAGUCGAGCGGUAGCACAGAGAGCUUGCUCUCGGGUGACGAGCGGCGGACGGGUGAGUAAUGUCUGGGAAACUGCCUGAUGGAGGGGGAUAACUACUGGAAACGGUAGCUAAUACCGCAUAAUGUCGCAAGACCAAAGUGGGGGACCUUCGGGCCUCAUGCCAUCAGAUGUGCCCAGAUGGGAUUAGCUAGUAGGUGGGGUAACGGCUCACCUAGGCGACGAUCCCUAGCUGGUCUGAGAGGAUGACCAGCCACACUGGAACUGAGACACGGUCCAGACUCCUACGGGAGGCAGCAGUGGGGAAUAUUGCACAAUGGGCGCAAGCCUGAUGCAGCCAUGCCGCGUGUGUGAAGAAGGCCUUCGGGUUGUAAAGCACUUUCAGCGGGGAGGAAGGCGAUAAGGUUAAUAACCUCAUCGAUUGACGUUACCCGCAGAAGAAGCACCGGCUAACUCCGUGCCAGCAGCCGCGGUAAUACGGAGGGUGCAAGCGUUAAUCGGAAUUACUGGGCGUAAAGCGCACGCAGGCGGUCUGUCAAGUCGGAUGUGAAAUCCCCGGGCUCAACCUGGGAACUGCAUUCGAAACUGGCAGGCUAGAGUCUUGUAGAGGGGGGUAGAAUUCCAGGUGUAGCGGUGAAAUGCGUAGAGAUCUGGAGGAAUACCGGUGGCGAAGGCGGCCCCCUGGACAAAGACUGACGCUCAGGUGCGAAAGCGUGGGGAGCAAACAGGAUUAGAUACCCUGGUAGUCCACGCCGUAAACGAUGUCGAUUUGGAGGUUGUGCCCUUGAGGCGUGGCUUCCGGAGCUAACGCGUUAAAUCGACCGCCUGGGGAGUACGGCCGCAAGGUUAAAACUCAAAUGAAUUGACGGGGGCCCGCACAAGCGGUGGAGCAUGUGGUUUAAUUCGAUGCAACGCGAAGAACCUUACCUGGUCUUGACAUCCACAGAACUU
rnacentral:rRNA from 1 species